CUGUAAUUAACUAUAACAGCGGCCUUAACCCUACGUGCCUCUGUUUUUUCAAAGGAAAUGACUUCAAAUACGUAGGUCUGUAAGUUUGGCCGCAUGUGCAUUGGCUUGUCCCAGGACGUUCCACUAUAUAAAUGGCCUCCAAGUUAGAGAUGAAGAAGAUUACUUUGCACCCCUGAGGAGACACAUUUUCACCUCCGCACCUGGAAAAAAGGUGAGAUUGAGACUUCAUACGGAAACGAAGUGUAUACAUUGUAGAAUAUGAAUGUAAAUAGAAAUAUAUUGCUGUUGAUAUUAUAGUUCUUGAAACAAAUCAUAUUAACUUAAUUGAAUAUCAGAAAAAAACACUCCCAGCAAAAGGAAAUGAAGAACGAGAUUGUUGUUAAACACAACAUGAGGCUUUGUUUUGUAGGAACAUCAUGAUGAAGCUGUUGGUGCUCACGCUGUGCCUGCUGGUCACCACCUUGGCUUCUCCGUUGCGGAGAGUGACAGCAAUGAGGAAAAAGUAAGAUUUUUGCUUUUCAGUGAUGUUUCUGUGUCUGUCUGUCCAGGCAUGUGAUACCAUGUUUUAGUCAAGUCAUCAUGUGUAUAGUAUGGAACAUGUCUGACGGACGAGAGGGGGUUGGGGGGGGGGGGGGGGUAAUUUGCUUAAUUACAGUGCAUGUCUAGAGAUGUCAGGUAUGCCCUCAGCAAGCUGCAGCGCAUGCUAACAAGGCCCUGAGGUGGAUGGAGAUGUACAGGCUGCACCAGCAGCAGGUAGUUGGGGUUCAUUGGAGAUUCUAAAAAAUAAAAUAAUAAAAUUCAGAUUGUUUGGCAUCAAUUAUUUCUUAGAAUCAUUAAUCUGUAUGUUUCCAGAGAUUAGUUGGAACCCCCUUCAUGCCAGUUACUGAUGCUCCUGUGAGUUAAUAUUUUGUCCAGAAUCACUUUAGUUUCAUAUUAAUCAGGAAACCUUGAACAUAAAUCAAGGUCUGGAAUUAUUAGUGAAGUGUAGGUCUAACUUAUCAAUAAUCAUUCAUUUGUUUGGGUUUAUUCGGCCGAGGAAGCCAUGCAACAUCUAAUCUCUCAAUUCCACGUGGUGUUUGAGUUGAGCGUGUUAUGAUUCUGCAGGUUGAUGCUGCACCAGUCCAGGCUGCUGGCGUCCCUCCUGCUGCUGCCCAAGCUGUCGGAGACGCAUCGGAGGAGGAGACAGAGGCUGGCAACCCUGCACCCAAAGACGCCGUCCCCCUAAGCUCUGAUGAGGUCGAGGAGGCCGAGGAGGUUGAGGAGGUUGAGGAGGUGGAGGCAGCUGAGGCUGAACCUGCAGCAGCUGUUGAGCUGGCCGUGGUUGACGCCCCAGUGGACGCUGCAGCCGCUGAAGCUACAGUUGUGGACGUGCCUCCUGUUGACGCGGUUCUCGUUGACGCUGUCCCUGCAGCCCCUGAGGUGGCUGUUGAUGCGGCCGCCCCGGCCGCUGCUGACGUCCCUGUUGCUGCUACUGCUGAUGCCGCUGCCGUUGAUGCCGCUGCUGCCGUCCCUGCUGCUGCCGGUAUCGUUGAUGCCGCUGCCGUUGAUGUCGUUGCCGUUGAUGCCACUGAUGCCGGUGUUGUUGAUGCCGUUGAUGCCGGUGCCGCUGAUGCCGCUGCUGCUGAUGCCGCUGCUGCCUCACUGGCAGCUGAGAUUGACACAACUGGAGUGGCAGCAGAUCCUGUUGCAGUGUAGUUCCUUCUUGUCAUCCCCAGCCUCUUUUCCUAGCAGUGGAAACAGCCACUGUGUGUGUGUGUGUGUGUGUGUGUGCAGUGCAAAAGUAAGCUGUGUCACAUUGAUUCAUCAAGAAUGAACAACAAGUUGUGUGUUUUUAGUUAAGAAUUGGACAAUUAAAACAUUUUGUUGUGUUGUUUUUUCUGUCUUUAAUAAAAAUACUUUUUGAAAAUCUUAGUAGUUUGAAUUCAGUUGUGAUUGUUUA
ensembl:lncRNA